GGGCCAAACACAUGAAACUGGUCUCUCCCCAGAUGGCGUAUUCGAGCGUUGCGAUCGCCACGCCAAUAUCGAUAUCUCCUCGAUUUUGGCGGUAAAUCCGAGUUGCAAGCUACGUUUGUUGGUAAACGAAAACAAAUCUCGAUAUCCAAACCUACUCGACUUCUCGCUAGAAAGUUUGCAACCGUUUACUACAUAGUUUAUUGUGAGAGGCAAUAUUUUCAGAAAUAAUUUUUGUGAUAAGUACUGCUCUUUCAAAUCUCAUGAAAGAUGGCUUUGAUGUUAAAGCUCUUCAAGCAUUCCGUGUUCUUCGUCCUCUGAGGCUUGUAUCGGUGGUGCCAAGUA